AUUGAACGCUGGCGGCAUGCCUUACACAUGCAAGUCGAACGGCAGCACGGGUGCUUGCACCUGGUGGCGAGUGGCGAACGGGUGAGUAAUACAUCGGAACGUACCUUAUCGUGGGGGAUAACGCAGCGAAAGCUGUGCUAAUACCGCAUACGCCCUGAGGGGGAAAGCGGGGGAUCGAAAGACCUCGCGCGAUUAGAGCGGCCGAUGCCUGAUUAGCUUGUUGGUGGGGUAAAAGCCCACCAAGUCGACGAUCAGUAGCUGGUCUGAGAGGUCGAUCAGCCACACUGGGACUGAGACACGGCCCAGACUCCUACGGGAGGCAGCAGUGGGGAAUUUUGGACAAUGGGGGCAACCCUGGUCCAGCAAUGCCGCGUGAGUGAAGAAGGCCUUCGGGUUGUAAAGCUCUUUUGUCAGGGAAGAAACACCGGCUCUAACACAGUCCGGGAAUGACGGUACCUGAAGAAUAAGCACCGGCUAACUACGUGCCAGCCGCCGCGGUAA
rnacentral:rRNA from 1 species